GUCUUACGAACUCAGUCUUAUAAAUCACAUAGGAUCUCUCCUUAUCUAUCAAGGUCGAUAGAUUCCUUAUAGGUGCAUACCUUACUCCUACAGUGAACUUACUGCAGCCAAUCUACACUGCAUGGACCCAUAUGGCUAGAGACCAUGUAUGUGUGCAGUCAAACUACAAUAACCUCACUGUGAGUAGCCGAAGCACCGCAGGUCAAAGGACCAGUCACACUACUGCAACAUCAAGC
rnacentral:lncRNA from 1 species